rfam:Schistosoma margrebowiei strain Zambia genome assembly, scaffold: SMRZ_scaffold0004348
GUAAAGGCCCUUUUCAGGGCCAGCCACAGUUUGAUUUGCAUUAUUU